GCAGGAAGGCAGGCCUCACCUCAGCACAGAUGUGAAUGGCACUGCUUAUCCAGGUGUACAGCCAGGGAAAGUUGAUUUCCAGUUCCCUUAUUUCUCUGCUAGCUCUGGAAUUCAGUCUGAGCAAGAGUUCAAUAUUCUGGAGGGAAACUGGGCAUAAUUACUGGUGGAUUUCCAUGAUUUGACUACAUUUCCUGACUUCUAGAUCCUGAGUUCUCAUCCCUUAUAGACUUAGAUACAUUGAGGCCUGGGAGUCACUUCUGGAACAUUUUGUUAAUACAUCAUUUCCCUCACUGACCUACAUUAGAUUUAGCAAACCAUUCUGGAAAGAAGCUACUCCCUGCUAGAGCUGAAGUACCCCCAAACCACUUGGGUGGUGGCUCUAGUUUAAAGAAACAACCAGCCCCUUAAGGAUGAAUCUUGCCGAGCCUCUCUGAUGUCAGGAACUACUUAAUCUUCAUUCAUUUAUGCAAAAGUUCAAGUCUGGUCAUCUGUUCUGUCCCCUGAGUCUGACUUCUGCCUGCAGCCUUCCCUGACACGUAUCACCAAAUUGCUGAUUGUCUGCUCAUCACUAACUGCACCAGACAUAUUUGGUCCUCAACCCUUCCUUGCUCUGGAGGUUGACUGCUGGAUUUCACUCAGUGGUCACAUGGCUCCAAGGAGUGACCUAGCUUCUCUGCUUCAAUCCCCUCACCUCUGAAAUAAAGA